UACGUAGGGUGCGAGCGUUAAUCGGAAUUACUGGGCGUAAAGCGUGCGCAGGCGGUCUUGCAAGACAGAUGUGAAAGCCCCGGGCUUAACCUGGGAACUGCAUUUGUGACUGCAAGGCUGGAGUGCGGCAGAGGGGGAUGGAAUUCCGCGUGUAGCAGUGAAAUGCGUAGAUAUGCGGAGGAACACCGAUGGCGAAGGCAAUCCCCUGGGCCUGCACUGACGCUCAUGCACGAAAGCGUGGGGAGCAAACAGG
rnacentral:rRNA from 1 species